GCGGGAGUGCCCGAGCUAAGCCAAAGGGGCCGGACUGAGGCUCCGGUGGCGUAGGCCUGCGUGGGUCCAAAUCCCACCUCCCGCA
rnacentral:tRNA from 3 species